AAACCCUUCAGGAAAGUAUACGUAUCACAUGUAACAUGUAGUGUAACAAAGUAUGAACAGUAAGGUUUUUACAUACAGUAGUACAUAUUACAUACGUACAUAACUUUUUUUUACAGGAAUUUCCAACCAAGUUUGAUUAUGUACAUAUGUACAUGUUAUAAACCACUGUACGUAUGGUUACUGUAUGUAACUUACUAAACAUACAUAACAUGACUUAACUUUGAUACUUUUUUGGUACAUUCCAGAAAACCAGGACCCCCUCCAUGAUGCAGGCUAUGGGGCCACAUAAAACUUUGUCCAGGGUUACUACAUAACAUAGCACGACAACUGUAAACUAUGUACUACUGUACUAAAGAACCCCCUGAAUGAUGUAGGCUAUGGGGCCACAUAAGACUUUGUGCAUCCAGGGUUACGUUGAACGACAAAUUUAAACUAAAAAACCCCCUGAAUGAUGUAGGCUAUGGGGCCACAUAAGACUUUGUGCAUCCAGGGUUACGUUGAACGACAAAUUUAAACUAAAAAGCUACCAGACUGGGAUUUUAGUGUACUCCAGGAUCUAACAAAUACAUACUACUACGAAGUGUACAGUGCAUAAUAUAGUGUUUAGUGUAUAAUCUAACCUAAGGAUUAAGUGUAGUACAUUGUGCUUUAUAGUGUCACAAGAGUUUAAUAAAGAAUUAUACCUUCAAGAACCAUCCUUUGCCAUUGAAAUAACCACACUACACAUCAUGCAAUAUACUUGCAUGUCACACAGGUAAGGUCUCUAACUUUUUCUUAGUUUAAGGCAUAUUUCCAAGUGUCGUUCCGGCUUACGACGAUUUUCGGCUUACGACGAGCCUCAAGAACGG